CCGCGGGCCGGGGCGCGGGAGGGCCCCCCCACGCCUGGCACCCGCUGCACCCCCCGCUGCGGAGGCUGCGGGCACAGCCCGGCUCCCGCCGGCGGAGGGUGCGGUGCGUCGGCGUUCGCGCGUUUGCAGCAACAACAACUCGUGUUCCGCGCAACACGGCGGCAGGGGCAGUGGCCGAUUUAAGCGGCCAUUCUGCAAGACAGAACGAGGCACCGUACCCGAAUCCCGUCGCUGCGGGAUAGGACUGCCCGGGGGGGGACGUGCUGCGGUGCCAUCGCCGCCGCAUCGCCCAGACCUCACCCUCCCGGGAGGAGGCGGCGCGAUCCCCCCGUCCAGCCCGGCCCUCGGGGCUGCGGGGGCCCCGCCUGGGGGACCCGCGUUGUUCCCCUGCCGGGCGCGGGGCUCCGCACCGCCGCGCUCCCGCCGACACACGGGGGCACUGACGGAUCUUCCGGAGCAGCUGCGGGAAAGCACUUUCCUUUUUUCUUUUUUUUAAUAUGGAGGCGAACGGUAUUUUUUCCUUGUCUUGUCUUGUGCCUCCCUUAACUGAUACAAACAAUAAUUAAAAAAAAAAAAAAAAAUGCUAA